rnacentral:lncRNA from 1 species
UAAAUCAGUUUUGAGCAUGUUCAUGCAUCACGGAUGCCAUGUGAUAUUUUAGGUUGUUUGCAUUAGAAAUCACGAAUAUGUUGCAUUGCAUAAUAUGUUGUUGAUGUGGAUGAAUGUUGAAUGAUCCAUUAGCCCUCAUAUGUUAUGAUGUGAUGAUAUGAUAUGGAAGUCCAGGUGUGGCCUGUACUACGCCCCUGGCACUAUGUAAGAGAAAGACCGGACGUGACCUGCACUACGCCCCCGGCACCAUGGAUUAUGUAUGUUAUGUUAUGUAUAAGAGAAAGACCAGGUGUGGCCUGCACUACGCCCCUGGCAUGAUUGGAAUAUGUAGAGGGCUAAAUGGUGACAAGUUCAUCCUUGAUAUGAUUAAUUGUGAUGUGAUGCAUUCCAUGAUAGCAUGUGUUUUAAAUGCUUUAUGAUUCUGCUCACUGGGCGCUAGUAGCUCACCCCUCUCCCAAAUUCCCCAGGUUUGCAGGUACGGGUCAGAUAGAGAAGUCAAGAAGAGUAAUGAAGUCUUAUGUAUGUAAUAGUUAGAAUGUGGACAUGGCAGAUUGUAUAAUGAUGUAUAGAUAUGUAAUGU